rnacentral:rRNA from 1 species
UACGAAGGGGGCCAGCGUUAUUCGGAAUUACUGGGCGUAAAGGGCGCGUAGGCGGUGUGUCAAGUCAGGCGUGAAAGCCCCGGGCUCAACCUGGGAACAGCGCUUGAGACUGGCACGCUCGAGUUCGGGAGAGGAUGGUGGAAUUCCCAGUGUAGAGGUGAAAUUCGUAGAUAUUGGGAAGAACACCGAUGGCGAAGGCAGCCAUCUGGACCGACACUGACGCUGAGGCACGAAGGCCAGGGGAGCAAACGGG